CCGGGGACCUUCUCCAUCGGCGUUGCGGCCGCUGGGAGGCGGCUCUCAAAAGUUCAGAGUUGGCAAACCGCAGCUCUGGGCCAUCCGGCAAGCCGAAGGUGCCGCUCGAGUUCAAGGACUUCGAGCCGCCACCUGAGGCCACCACAACAAAAACUGCCGGACCAUUCUCUAUUAAAGUUUCUUCUUCAUCCUUCGUAGGAUUGCUGUUGCAUAUAUUGCCCGACACCAAACCGAAGAAGUUGUCGAUCACUUUGGACUUUUCUCAAACAGGGUGUUGUCCGGUGAUUGAAUUUCUCUUCACACAAGGACAGAUUGUGAAGGAGAUAUUGUAAACUAUCAGCAGCAGUAGAGAACGAGGCACAAAGAAUAAAGGAAAUUGAUGGA